rnacentral:rRNA from 1 species
AAAGUAUUUAGUCGGUGAGUGGUGGGGAUGCGUCUGAUUAGCUUGUUGGCGGGGUAACGGCCCACCAAGGCAACGAUCAGUAGGGGUUCUGAGAGGAAGGUCCCCCACAUUGGAACUGAGACACGGUCCAAACUCCUACGGGAGGCAGCAGUGAGGAAUAUUGGUCAAUGGACGAGAGUCUGAACCAGCCAAGUAGCGUGCAGGAUGACGGCCCUAUGGGUUGUAAACUGCUUUUAUAAGGGAAUAAAGUGAGAGUCGUGACUCUUUUUGCAUGUACCUUAUGAAUAAGGACCGGCUAAUUCCGUG